rnacentral:lncRNA from 1 species
UCUGAUUGGGCUAUUGCAAUUAGAGGAAAUUAGCUGGACUUGGGUAACACUUUAGUGCAACGACGUCGUUUUAUAGAGUGGUAGCAGCUGCAGAGUGUCUUGCUUCGAACAAAUCAUUUGAGACUAACAUUGGGCACGCAGAUUCAUUUUGGGCAACAGAGAAACACUCCUUUGAGCUAGGGCUUGGGAAAAGCAAGACAAGAAAGGAAGAAGAAGCUCGAGCCCUUGACCAGACCUUGACCGGAGCUGACAAGAAAAGAUGACUUGGAGAUGACCGGAGGGCUUGGAAAGGAAGCAACUGUUGACCGUCCGAUGAAGAGAAGAUUAAAGCGUCAAGGUCAAGUUUCUCCCAUUUUCCCUCUAUCUUUCUUCGACCAUAUAAAAGGGCUUUUGUAAAUAGAAAUGUAUAGACUUCCAGAGACACUUUCAUAGAGACACUUUUUCACAUUUUUAGUUUUUAGUUUCUGGAGAGUAGUUAGAGUGAUCGAGAGUUUAGGGUUUGUGUUUACGCUUUCCACAAGAGUAGAUUCUCAUUCCCCUUGCAUUUGAGUGAACAUUCACGGUAACUGACAGUCGUGAUGAUCGCGAUUGCAUUUCGUUCGGUAAUAUCUCUUGUAAACUUCAUUCUUAUCAAUAAACUUUUGAUUACUUUGAUUUUCUCUGUGUUGAGUGCUUUAUGAUUCUGUUAUGUUAAUUUUUCGAUCUUUUGUACUUAAGUGAUUGUGUUUUUGUGUUUUGAUUCGAACUCGAAUAUCUGCACAUUGUAAAUUUCUUUUUGGAAUUAUACGACCCCGAAGUGGGCAUAAAUGAACGGGAUGUCUUCCCGAGCCAAAUAAGAGUUCAAUCAAUAAAAAAUAUUUCAAUUCAUAUUGUUUUAGUUUUUGUUUGUGAGUUGUGUUUGAGGAUUUGGAAUUGAAUUUGUUUUGUUUUGGUACAUUGCUGGAUUGUUAUUCG